CUGGAGAGUAAACACGGCGGCGGCGGCGGCAGCGCCCGGAGCCUAGCCGCGUCCCCGGGCUCUGCCUCGGAGGGAGGUAUGACCCCCGGAGACUCAUUUCAUCCCUGGGUUCCAGUUCUCUCACCUGUAAAAUGAAGGAGUUGGGCAGUUGGGCCGGAUGGCCUCUAAAUCUACAAUUGUCUUGUACUUUCCACAAUUUGGGCUCCUCUGGAACACUUGUCAAGAACCCACAGUGGCAAUGAGACAUCCGAAGGUGGAGGACAGACACCAACCAUUAAAUGAAAUUCAACGAGUUGUUGUUUGAAGCAGUUUUUCUUAUAGAAGAAAAGCAUCGAUCCAGACAAGCAAAUACAAAAUAAACAUGAAUAUAGUAA